rnacentral:rRNA from 1 species
UACGUAGGGGGCAAGCGUUGUCCGGAAUCAUUGGGCGUAAAGAGCGCGUAGGCGGCCCUGUAAGUCCGCUGUGAAAGUCAAGGGCUCAACCCUUGGAUGCCGGUGGAUACUGCAGGGCUAGAGUCCGGAAGAGGCGAGUGGAAUUCCUGGUGUAGCGGUGAAAUGCGCAGAUAUCAGGAGGAACACCGAUGGCGAAGGCAGGUCUCUGGGCCGCAACUGACGCUGAGGAGCGAAAGCAUGGGGAGCGAACAGG